CAAUAGCGUAUAUUAAAGUUGUUGCGGUUAAAAAGCUUGUAGUUGGAUUUCUGCUGAGAACGACCGGUCCGCCCUUUGGGUGUGUAUCUGGCUCUUUCUUGGCAUCUUCUUGGUGAACGUUGCUGCACUUGACUGUGUGGAGCGCUACCCAGGACUUUUACUUUGAGGAAAUUAGAGUGUUUCAAGCAGGCAUACGCCUUGAAUACAUUAGCAUGGAAUAAUAAGAUAGGACCUCGGUUCUAUUUUGUUGGUUUCUAGAGCUGAGGUAAUGAUUAAUAGGGAUAGUUGGGGGCAUUCGUAUUUAACUGUCAGAGGUGAAAUUCUUGGAUUUGUUAAAGAUGGACUACUGCGAAAGCAUUUGCCAAGGAUGUUUUCAUUGA
rnacentral:rRNA from 1 species